GACAAGAUGGCCGAGUGGUUAAGGCGGUCGCCUGCUAAGCGCACAACCGUUCAGGUUGGUAAGCGAUUGGGUUCUGCCCGCGUGAGUUCGAAUCUCAUUCUUGUCGA
rnacentral:tRNA from 1 species